AUGAAGGAGAGUUCUGCAGCUCUUCCUAUUGAAAUUCAUGACAUGGAAGCUGAUGUGUUCAAGUCCUUGCUACACUUCAUAUACACCGACUCGGUUCCUCUGCUUGAGACGGCUUGCAACAAAGGCGAAACUGAUGUGGUUAUGGCUGGCCAUCUACUGGUAGCAGCUGACAGAUACAACAUCGUCAGGCUGAAGCAGAUAUGUGACGAGAAAUUGUGCAAUCACAUGGAUUCAAACAUGGUGGCAACCAGCUUGGCUUUAGCCGAGCAGCAUGGAUUCCAUCGUCUCAAAGAAGCUUGCUUGCAGUUCCUUGCUUCUCCGUCCAACUUCGAUGCGAUGGUGGCAAGUGAUGGGUAUGAACAUCUGAAAUCAAGCUGCCCAUCUGUUCUCAAGGAGCUCAUAGCUAGAAUGAUCCCGUCUGAAUUUAAAUCAGCAAAGGAUGUUAUCAUGGCAAUUUAG
rnacentral:rRNA from 1 species